AUCUAGCUGACGAGUCUCAAAUAUGACAAAACGCGCUUCCUGGAU
rfam:Schistosoma rodhaini strain Burundi genome assembly, scaffold: SROB_scaffold0012424